ensembl:misc_RNA 7SK 7SK RNA
GGAUGUGAGGGUGAUCUAGUUGUGACAUAUGUCACCCCUUGAUCCCCAGGGUUUAUUCGGCUGAUCUGGCUGACUAGGCGGGUGUCCCCUUCCUCCCUCACCACUGCAUGUACAUCCCUCCCAAAGCUGCACACUCCGUUGAAGAGGACAACCAUCCCCAACAGAGGAGGGGCAGUCUUUGGUCCAGGGUAUAUGGAUAGCUGCAAUCCCCCCUGCUAGAACCUCCAAACAAGCUCCCAGAAGGACAUCUGGCAAAUAAAGAAACAUGCACACAACUAAUUAUCAGAGAAACACCAGCUGAAAUAUUGUGAUAUCAC